GAAACUGCGAAUGGCUCAUUAAAUCAGUUAUCGUUUAUUUGAUAGUACCUUACUACAUGGAUAACCGUGGUAAUUCUAGAGCUAAUACAUGCUAAAAAUCCCGACUUCGGAAGGGAUGUAUUUAUUAGAUUAAAAACCAAUGCCCUUCGGGGCUCUCUGGUGAUUCAUAAUAACUUCUCGAAUCGCACGGCCUUGCGCCGGCGAUGGUUCAUUCAAAUUUCUGCCCUAUCAACUUUCGACGGCUGGGUCUUGGCCAGCCGUGGUGACAACGGGUAACGGAGGGUUAGGGCUCGACCCCGGAGAAGGAGCCUGAGAAACGGCUACUACAUCCAAGGAAGGCAGCAGGCGCGCAAAUUACCCAAUCCCGACACGGGGAGGUAGUGACAAUAAAUACUGAUACAGGGCUCUUUCGGGUCUUGUAAUUGGAAUGAGUACAAUUUAAAUCCCUUAACGAGGAACAAUUGGAGGGCAAGUCUGGUGCCAGCAGCCGCGGUAAUUCCAGCCCCAAUAGCGUAUAUUAAAGUUGUUGAGGUUAAGAAGCUCGUAGUUGAACCUUGGGCCUAGCCGGCCGGUCCGCCUCAC
rnacentral:rRNA from 1 species